UUUAAAUCCUUGCUGUUAAGCUGUGUGUUUGAAUUGAGGUGCUUUUGUACAGAAAGGUUUGAGCAUGGGAUAAAUGCAGGCAAUUCAGCUGCAAUGGCACUUGUUUCAUCUGCUUUUCUUCUUCUUUUCCCCAUGGGUGGCCAAUUUGGGAGUAUUUGUCUUGUACUUUGAGUUCCAGCUCAGACUUGCUCAUAGAUGUGCUCUAAAAUCUUAUCUACCCCUUUCUACUGAAAGAUGCUUGCAGACUGGUGGGAAUUGCUAGAGACAAGGCUUACAAACCAAUCCCCAGUAUGAUUAGCCCAGUGUCCCUGCUUAAACCCAGGUAUGCUUGUAUUAGAAAGGAGUGAACUAUUCUAACUCACUUGCCCCCUCUCCUUUUUUUGUUUGGUAGUUCUUGGGGCGAGUCCUGUGUGCCAUUCCAACUCUUUGCUAUCAAAUGUGUGAAGGCAUGAUGCUGCUGUAGCAGGAGCCUGAGUUCAGUGGGAACAUGUCCAAAGCACCGGGUCUCACAGCAGUGGGCACGGUGAGAGACUUGCCUCUGAUGCCAUGGCAAUCCAGCCAUGGGGAGAGCAGCUGCUGGGGCUUCCCCCAUUCUGCCAACAGCAGUCUGCCUCCAGCAUGAGGACUGUAUGGCCAUGAUUCUGACAGAAUGUGGAAAAUGCAUCGUUUGAAGGUAUUUUGAUGGUGUCUGACAUCACCUGACUGGAGCAGUUUGGUAGGCAGGACGCCCUGUGGGCAGGGCCAUGGCAGGGAUCGGUGGCUGGCACUGGCACUGGCAGUGUUAUUUUUCCAGACAGGCUCCUGGUACAGCUGCGGGGGAGGGCACCAGCAGCUGUAUCAGCACAGCGAGCAGCAGCACAUGGAGGAGACCCUCAUCUGCAAAGAGCCCGUCACCCCCUUUGCUGCCCCCGUGGCAGCACAAGAUGAUUCCGCCGCAGGUGAAGGGCUGCAGCAUGACUGGAGACUCCUUCAGCCAGGACUUGUUGCAAUCUCGUUGCUGCAGCUGUGCCUGGAGGAUGUUGGCCUGCAGAGGUGCAGCCAAUGCCCAGGAAUGCUGCUCAGCCCAGAGAGGCAGAGUGUGUACAAAAGCUGCAUUCAAAGUGCUGAUUGCGAGACCCCGGAGCCGCUGGCAAGUGCAGCAGCUCUUCUUCAUUCCGUGCAGGCCUGACUGGCUACCCUCUUGCCAAGAGGUUUUCCCUGGCCACUCCCUCUAUGCUCCUUCCCUCCAAGCCAUUGUCUCCCAUCCAGAAGAUCUCUCCUUGUACCAAGCCAAGCCAGAUAUGCAGCGGAGAGCAGGAGAAUGGGAAAAAUGGCAGCAGCUAUGAUGAGGACAGUAGAAAAAAACAGGAGCUGAGUUCUGAGGGAACAGGAUACUUCCUUGCUCUAUUUCACUGAGGGGGUUAUGAAGAAGGGGUCAUUGGGACCACUCUUGAUCCCCCCCAUACUCCAGGCAAUAAGUCCCAUUCUUGGCAGCACUGCAGGGUCUCUGCAAAGCUCUCCACAGCUGGAAUUCCAGGGGUGUCAGGAGAUGAGACGCUGAUUUCCACCGCCGUCACCGUGGGAGACACGGUGGCUGACGCCGCCACCAUUGAGCCGUCAGCGCCAGAGUCCGCCCGGUGGGAAAAAGCUCUUGGACCACGGCGAGCCUGAGAGGGUUUCCGCUCCUUCUGCUCAGCUCCGGCAGCACUAUCGCCGCUGAGAGACUCUUCUGGCUCCUGCCGGGUUCCGGGUUUUCAGAGGAGCGAAGACGCAGCUUCUGCACACCCCAGAAGACGACUUCAGACCGGGAACCGCUGUUGUUUUUUGUUUUCUAAGGGUCGACGGUUCAGUAAGAUUCAAUAUUAGCAUGGGAGGGCCCCGGUUAGUGAGUCUGGGUGGAGGCACCCCCGUUCCCGCGGAGGGAAAGGGUACGUGAGCGCACAGAGUGCGGGGUGCCGCCGUUGGUUUUUAGACCUUUUUAGGUUUUCUUCUUUGUUUUUUUCAGCAGCAGGCGGGUGAGGCUUGCUGGUGGUCAGAAUGGGUAGGAAAUUGUCCACACAGCAGAAAGAGAUUUAUA